rnacentral:misc_RNA from 1 species
GAAAUGCGAUAAGUAGUGUGAAUUGCAGAAUUCAGUGAAUCAUCGAAUCUUUGAACGCACAUUGCGCCCCUCGGUAUUCCGUGGGGCAUGCCUGUUCGAGCGUCAUCUACACCCUCAAGCUCUGCUUGGUGAUGGGCGUCUGUCCCGCCUCCUUCGCGCGCGGACUCGCCCCAAAUCCAUUGGCGGCGGCCCUUGCCUCCCUCUCGCGCAGCACAUUGCGCUUCUCGAGGCGCGGCGGACCGCGUCCAGCAAGCAACCGUCACACCGUCUUUGACCUCGGAUCAGGUAGGGAUACCCGCUGAACUUAAGC